CCCUUAGAUGUUCUGGGCUGCACGCGCGCUACACUGAUGCACUCAACGAGUUUACGACCUUGCCCGAUAGGGUUGGGUAAUCUUUUUAAAAUGCAUCGUGAUGGGGAUAGAUUAUUGCAAUUAUUAAUCUUCAACGAGGAAUUCCUAGUAAGCGCGAGUCAUCAGCUCGUGCUGAUUACGUCCCUGCCCUUUGUGCACACCGCCCGUCGCUCCUACCGAUUGAGUGCUCAGGUGAAUAAUUCGGACUGCAGCAAUGUUUGGAUCCCGAACGUUGCAGCGGAAAGUUUAGUGAACCUUAUCACUUAGAGGAAGGAGAAGUCGUAACA
rnacentral:rRNA from 1 species